GUGGGGAAUCUUAGACAAUGGGCGCAAGCCUGAUCUAGCCAUGCCGCGUGAGCGAUGAAGGCCUUAGGGUUGUAAAGCUCUUUCGCUGGGGAAGAUAAUGACUGUACCCAGUAAAGAAGCCCCGGCUAACUCCGUGCCAGCAGCCGCGGUAAUACGGAGGGGGCUAGCGUUAUUCGGAAUUACUGGGCGUAAAGCGCACGUAGGCGGACUGGAAAGUUGGGGGUGAAAUCCCGGGGCUCAACCUCGGAACUGCCUUCAAAACUCCCAGUCUUGAGUUCGAGAGAGGUGAGUGGAAUUCCGAGUGUAGAGGUGAAAUUCGUAGAUAUUCGGAGGAACACCAGUGGCGAAGGCGGCUCACUGGCUCGAUACUGACGCUGAGGUGCGAAAGCGUGGGGAGCAAACAGGAUUAGAAACCCCAGUAGUCC
rnacentral:rRNA from 1 species